rnacentral:rRNA from 1 species
AACGAACGCUGGCGGCAGGCUUAACACAUGCAAGUCGAACGCAUCCUUCGGGGUGAGUGGCAGACGGGUGAGUAACGCGUGGGAACGUGCCCUUCAGUUCGGGAUAACCCAGGGAAACUUGGGCUAAUACCGGAUACGUGCGAGAGCAGAAAGAUUUAUCGCUGAAGGAUCGGCCCGCGUCUGAUUAGCUAGUUGGUGAGGUAAUGGCUCACCAAGGCGACGAUCAGUAGCUGGUCUGAGAGGAUGAUCAGCCACAUUGGGACUGAGACACGGCCCAAACUCCUACGGGAGGCAGCAGUGGGGAAUAUUGGACAAUGGGCGCAAGCCUGAUCCAGCCAUGCCGCGUGAGUGAUGAAGGCCUUAGGGUUGUAAAGCUCUUUCGUCCGGGACGAUAAUGACGGUGCCGGAAGAAGAAGCCCCGGCUAACUUCGUGCCAGCCGCCGCGGUAAAAC